UCCACUACUGCCCUACUUGUAGACCUGAGUGUAUCUUGUCAUUUAAAUAUUAAAUAUUGGCACCCAAAUACUUUCAGAUGCCGCGCGGAAAGUCCUUCUUCCGUUCUGAGGCUGCCAAGUUUCGCAUGGCAGAGCGGAGCUACGGUUCUCAACUCCAGCAAGGCUGUGGCACAGGUCGGCGUCACUUUGUGCGCCCAUGGCCAAAGUCUUCCCUCACUGGAAGACAACGUAAAUUGGUCAUUCCACCCAAGUUUCCAGACAAGAAGUUGGUGCUUGUUCUCGGAUGCUCCCACCUGCGUGCAAUUGCAGAU